GUGACACCUUUGGGCUGGCACUAGAUCUGGAUUUUCUUCUAAUUUUGUAGCUAGAUACGGCGAGUAGCUCCUUUCCUACUGCGCAAUAACACAGUAUUGUUACCUGUACUGUACCCCCUCACAGCAAGAUGUCUGUAUGUGCUGGAACCAUGAAGGAGCCAGGCUUUGAGCCACAGAAUCCGCAGACUGGGAUGGAGAGUGCCUCUCUCAUUCUGCGACAGACAGUAAGGAGUGAUUGGAAGAGUCAUUGGUGGACAGUGGCAAUUGUGACAGGACUUUCAAUAUUAGAAGGAAUGGGGGAAAGGUGUAAAGAAGGCCCUGUCCCAUUGAAGGAGGAGGGAGUCUUCCAUGGAGCAGUACUGUGGACAUUUCUUGUUCUGACCCAGAUUCUGAAACAGGUCCAGUGUGGUCUGAGUGACUCGCUGGGCCUCUGCAAAGACCAUGUCCUGAGAAGGCAGUCAUCCAGUUAAGGAUAAAUCAUGAUGCCUUGAGUGUGUAAAUGGGCUGCCACUACCGAGAGGACCUUGGAGAAUACUCUGGGGGCUGAAGAGAGGCCGAAAGGGAGUACUCCAUAUUGGUAGUGGUCUCGGCCUAGCGUGAACCUGAGGUAAUGUCUGUGGCUCGGUACGAUCAAGAUGUGAAAAAUAAGCAUCACGGAGGUCAAUGGCUGAGAACCAGUCUCCUUUUUCUAAUGCUGGAAUGAUCGUAGAUAACGUGACCAUCUUGAAAGUCUCAGCCUUGAUAAAUGUAUUGAGCGUUCUGAGGUCCAGUAUGGGUCUCCAAACCCCGCCUCCUUUUUUUCCCAGGAAGUAUCAGGAGUAGAAGUCUCUGCUCCUUAGAUGUGUGGGCACUGGCUCUAUGGCUCUUGUGCUGAAGAGAUGGUUUAUCUCCUGUUUUAGCAGGCGCUUGUGAAAAGGAUCCCUGAAGAGGGACAUGGAAAGGGGUAUGGGAAGAGGGAGGGAGGAUAAAUGGAUGCAGUGUUCAUCUCAGAUGAUCUCCAACACUCAUUUGUCAGAGGUUAUCCAUUCCCAGGUGCUAUGGAACAGGGUGAAACAAUUUCCGAAGGGAUAGGUGGCGUUUUCUAGCAUGAAAUGAGAAGAGUGUUCUACAGACACCUCAACCAACCCAUCAAAACUAUCUCUUCAAGGUGGAGGACUGAGAGGAAGUUUGCUCAAAUCCUGACAUCUUUUGUCUGGACAACCUGGGCUGCUUCCUCAGAUUCAUAUAAUCUCUGUGUAUAUUGUGAUGGACACUGGGAUGAGUACUGAGAUGAAUAAUGUGAGCAAGACUUGAAUGGUGGCUGAGUGCUGUACUUUCUUUGAUACCCAGGUGUAUAGAUACUGAGCGAUCAAAAAGUGGCCCUUGAAUCUUUUACCAUGUGGAGAGAGGCAUCAGUCUGUUCAACAAAUAAUUUUGUCCACCUCAAAGGGGAGGUCCUCCACUGUUGUUUGGACCUCCUUGGGGAAGCCGGAGAGAUGAAACUACGAGGCCCAUCUCAUCACAAUGGCAGUCUAAGUAAAAUGUGCCACCAUGUCAGCUGCAUCAAGUGCAGAUUGGUGAGACUUUUUGCCACCAGCUGGUCCUCAUUAAUCAAGGUUUUAAACUGGUCGUUGUGAGAAUAGGGGAGUUGUUCAAUAAAAGAACUAAACUUCACAUAGUUCUGAUACUCAUAUUUGGCCUACAAGGCUUGACCGUUCACCAUGCUGAAUUAAAGGGUAGCUGAGGAGUAGGCUUUCCUGCCAAACAAGUCCAGGUGCUUCCAGUCCCGGUCAUAAGUGGCAGACUUAAAGUGGUGCUGAUGGCAUUUAGAAUUAACUGGGCUCACAAUGAUCAAACUGGGAGUCAGGUGUGAGAAUAGCAAUUCUGUGUCCUUUGCUGGCACAUAAUAUUUCUUGUCUGCCCUCUUACAAGUUGGUGCGAUGGACAUGGGGGUCUGCCAUAUCGUGUCGGCAGGGUCCAGUAGAUCCUCAUUAACAGGGAGGGCUGCUCUGGAGGAGGUGGAGGAAUGUAGAAUGUCCACCAGCUUGUGAUAUGACUCAGAUACCUCUUGUAAAGGUAUUUGGAGUCCCUCUGCCACCCUCUGUGCCAAGCCCUGGAACAGUUUAAAGCCGUCCUCCAUUGAUGCCAGAGGGGGCAUCACUGUCUCAUCUGGUGAUAAUGAGAAGGGGGCUGGAGAAGUGACUUCCUCCUCAACUUUGGCCUCUGGUUCCUCCCUUCCCUGGUUGGGGAGCUGAGGCCCUCGAGGCAGCGGCUGAAGAAGAAUACUUCCUUGGCUGCUGAUAGGCCAUACUAGUAGUGAUGGAGACUUUUAGAAUCACAGAAUAUCAAGGUUGGAAGGAACCUCAGGAAGUCUUCUAGUCCAAGCCCCUGCCCCUUUGAGCCUGCCAGUACAGCCAUUGUGAUGGUAAGGGGACCGGUGGCUGGUACCAGGGAGGCUGCGCGUCAGAAGGUUGGUAUGCCUGAUGUCCGCAGUGAAACUGGGAUCCAUAUGGUGGGCAAGAAGAGCAUUAGUAAGCUAGGUCCUCUUGGUCAAUUUCCGAUGACGAAAAGGGCAGUGCGUGGCAGGAGGCUGUUGGUGAGACAAGGGGUCUGGGUGAACUUGUUACCGGGGUCCCAGUACUGAGCAGAGAAGAAACUGGUGUGUCAGACCCCGAAAAAUUCAUUGUGCACCGGAAAUCUGUUGGGGCAGAGGGCAUCACUACUGGUGGAGCCUGUAGGUGCAGAGAGGCUUGUACUGACAGUGUCAGAAACGCGGACCUGAUAGCAAGGUCUGUUGGUGCCUGGCAUAUCAUUGGCGGUACCAAUGUUGAUGACUGUACCAACCGUCUUCCCUGGGGCAGAUUUUCUAUGUUUCUCACAUCCCUGCGGUACCGAUACUUCUUUGCCUGUACCCAUCGGGACUUCAGGCAUUCCAACUUGCCCUCUUGGUUCGAAAUCAUGCGUGUCCUGGGUGCCAGAUUUAGAUGGCUUUAGUGCCAACGGUACCAAUGAUACCGACUAAGUCAGGCAUCGUUUUCAGCUCAAGCAGGGAUCGCUAUGGGGACUCCUAGACCUUUUCUUAGAAGUCUUACGCGAGUGGCUCGCAGGCAUGUCUCUGAGCUCACCCUCUUUGAGCUAGCCAAAUGCAGUGAGGGCUCCCAUCAGGACUCCAGAGGCUGAAGGGCUGACUCCAUAAGAAGGAGUUUCAGCCUCAGUUCUCUGUCCUUCCUAGAUCUUGGCUUCAGUUGCUGGCACAAGUCCAUCAGUGACUGGAAUAGAUUAUUUGCAACUGAGGCACUUUUUGAAGUCCUGAGAGCUGGGCACAGCCUUAUCCAGGAGUGUCCCUACUUCAGAGGGUCCACAGAAGACAAUUUUUUUUUUUUAAGGCAACAGCCAAAAUAAAAUGUAAAUGAAGCAGGCAGGGAGCAGUGCAUGCGUAGGCAGGACGGAUUGCUACCAAAGUUCUCCGAUUAGCAGCGCAGUGGAGUGCCCAUAGGGACACUACUCGAAGAAGAACUAAGAUUUAACUCCUACUGUGAUACAAAGUAAGCUAUAAAAUAAGCAUCAAUACUAAUUCUCAUAUGCUACUGAGAAAGUUAAGCACUGUGACACCAGUUACAGUAAGAUCUGAACUUUAAAAUCAGAUGCAGAGGGUCAAUGCAUUAUUAUGCAAGAGAAAAUUUCAUUCAGAUGUCUUCCAUUUACAAGGCUGAAGUUAGAAAUGUUACUGUCCUAAAUGUAUUUUAUUCAAUUAAUGCAAGUCUGUUCUAGCUUCCCAUUUAGUAUCAAUACCUAAAUCAAUGGAAUAGAUUUUUCUUCGUUUCAGUUGAACCACUAUUAUUUGUAAAAUUCUAUCAAAAUCCUAUUUAAAUGUUACAAACCUUGUACAAAAGAGGAGAAAUUCUUUAAGAAGUCAUGGGUAAUGAUUAGCUAUCAU